rnacentral:misc_RNA from 1 species
GAUGAAGAACGCAGCGAAAUGCGAUACUUGGUGUGAAUUGCAGAAUCCCGUGAACCAUCGAGUCUUUGAACGCAAGUUGCGCCCGAAGCCAUUAGGCCGAGGGCACGCCUGCCUGGUGUCACACGUCGUUGCCCCCCCAUCUACUCCUUCGGGAUUGCGGGGGGCGGAUGAUGGCCUCCCGUGCGCCUCGUCGCGCGGUUGGCAUAAAUGCCAAGUCCUCGGCGACGCACGCCACGACAAUCGGUGGUUGCGAAACCUCGGUUGCCCGUCGUGUGCGGUCGUCGCGCAUCGAGGGCUCGAAAAAAUUGCCGGGCUCCGGCUCGGCUUUCAACGCGACCCCAGGUCAGGCGGGGUUACCCGCUGAAUUUAAGCAUAUCAAAAGCGGAGGA